rnacentral:lncRNA from 1 species
CUCUGUGAGUUUGAGGUCAGCCUGGUCUACCGAGCAAGUUUCAGGGCUACACAGAGAAAUCCUGUCUCAAAAAAGAAAAGAAAAAAAAAUCGUUCAGUUUCUCGACCCCUGUGUGGUGUGGAUGCUCUUAUCAUUCUUUUACUUUAUAGACGGAAGGACUCCCAGGCAAGGUGAGCCUCUCGCUGAGGGCCAUGAGGACAGCAGGUGCUCCAUAGUGAUGAUGACUGAGAACCAGAUUCAGUGUGGUCCACAGGGGGCUCCCACCGCAACCUCCUUAAUUCUUGACACUCUCCUGCCUCGUGGCCAUGUUUGCUCUGCUCCCUGACUGAAUGGCAAUGGCGCCCUUGUCAGAUGUCCUCACACCCCCUGCUCACCAAAAGCUCAGGGACAUCCCGGCCCGCAUUGUUCAAGCCAGGAAACCACCCACCCUCCAUAGCUAGGGGGGUGGCUUCUAAGAAGUUGUUUCUUCCCAGGGAGGCAGAGGCUCAGGAGCAGGCAAUGCUGUAUCAAGGUAUGGGGCUGGGAUGGGCUGGCCUACCCAAGGGCUACCUAACUCUCUACCUGAGCCCUUUGAGGGAUGGACCCAGGUUGGAGGGCAGAGGGUGACAGAAGCCAGAUGAGAGGAAGGGUGAUCUGCUCCCUCACAGCUCAGGAAGGCAGGGGGUGGGGAGGGGGGGCUCCAGGACCUGGUGGUCCCAUGUAGGUCCUCUUCCACUCAUUCAUAGCACCUCAACUCUUCAUUCAUCUGCUCCAUUGGGUCUCAUGGUAGCUGGUGUGUGUGUGUGUGUGUGUGUGUGUGUGUGUGUGUC